UCCCUGGUAGCUCAGUCGGUAAAGAAUCUGCCUGCAGUGCAGGAGACCCAGGUUCAAACCCUGGGUCGGGAA
rnacentral:tRNA from 1 species